UACGUAGGGCGCAAGCGUUGUCCGGAAUUAUUGGGCGUAAAGAGCUCGUAGGCGGUUUGUCGCGUCUGCUGUGAAAACUCGAGGCUCAACCUCGGGCUUGCAGUGGGUACGGGCAGACUAGAGUGCGGUAGGGGAGACUGGAAUUCCUGGUGUAGCGGUGGGAUGCGCAGAUAUCAGGAGGAACACCGAUGGCGAAGGCAGGUCUCUGGGCCGCAACUGACGCUGAGGAGCGAAAGCAUGGGGAGCGAACAGG
rnacentral:rRNA from 1 species